rnacentral:tRNA from 1 species
CAUCUAGGGGCUCAGUCAGUAGAGUAUGUGACUCUUGAUCUCAGGGUUGUGAGUUCAAGACUCACGUUACAUGA